UAAGCCAUGCGAGUCGAGAGGGUUCGGCCCUCGGCGUACUGCUCAGUAACACGUGGAUAACCUGCCCUAGGGAAGGGGAUAAUCCCGGGAAACUGGGGAUAAUACCCUAUAGGUUACAGAUGCUGGAAUGCUCUGUAAUCAAAAGUUCCGGCGCCCUAGGAUGGAUCUGCGGCCGAUUAGGUUGUUGUUGGGGUAAUGGCCCAACAAGCCAGUAAUCGGUACGGGUUGUGGGAGCAAGAGCCCGGAGAUGGAUUCUGAGACACGAAUCCAGGCCCUACGGGGCGCAGCAGGCGCGAAAACUUUACCAUGCGGGCAACCGUGAUAAGGAAACCCCGAGUGCCAGCACAGGCUGGCUGUCCGCCAGUUUAAACAACUGGCGAAGAAAGGGCCGGGCAAGACCGGUGCCAGCCGCCGCGGUAAUACCGGCGGCUCGAGUGGUGGCCGCUAUUACUGGGCUUAAAGGGUCCGUAGCUUGAUAAUAGGGUCCCUUGAGAAAUCCGCCGGCUUAACUGGCGGGCGUUCAGGGGAAACUUGUUUUCUAGGGACCGGGAGAGGUGAGGGGUACUGCCGGGGUAGGAGUGAAAUCCUGUAAUCCCGGUGGGACCACCUAUGGCGAAGGCAUCUCACCAGAACGGGUCCGACAGUGAGGGACGAAAGCUGGGGGAGCAAACCGGAUUAGAUACCCGGGUAGUCCCAGCUGUAAACUAUGUGCGUUAGGUGUGUCAGUGACCACGUGUCACUGAGGUGCCGAAGGGAAACCGUGAAACGCACCGCCUGGGGAGUACGGUCGCAAGGCUGAAACUUAAAGGAAUUGGCGGGGGAGCACCACAACGGGUGGAGCCUGCGGUUUAAUCGGACUCAACGCCGGGAAUCUCACCGGAUAAGACAGCGGAAUGAUUGCCGGGCUGAAGACUCUGCAUGACUAGCUGAGAGGAGGUGCAUGGCCGUCGUCAGUUCGUACUGUGAAGCAUCCUGUUAAGUCAGGCAACGAGCGAGACCCA
rnacentral:rRNA from 1 species